AUACGUAGGGUGCGAGCGUUGUCCGGAAUUACUGGGUGUAAAGGGAGCGUAGGCGGGAGUGCAAGUCAGAUGUGAAAUUCCGGGGCUCAACCCCGGCACUGCAUCUGAAACUGUGUCUCUUGAGUGCUGGAGAGGAAAGCGGAAUUCCUAGUGUAGCGGUGAAAUGCGUAGAGAUUGGGAGGAACACCAGUGGCGAAGGCGACUUACUGGACUGUAACUGACGCUGAGGCGCGAAAGUGUGGGGAGCAAACAGGAUUAGAUACCCUGGUAGUCCACACUGUAAACGAUGAAUGCUAGGUGUAGGGGGUAUCGACCCCUUCUGUGCCGCAGUCAACACAAUAAGCAUUCCGCCUGGGGAGUACGGCCGCAAGGUUGAAACUCAAAUGAAUUGACGGGG
rnacentral:rRNA from 1 species